rnacentral:tRNA from 1 species
GCCUAGUUUGAUUAGUUGGUAGAGCGUCUGCCUUGUAAGCGGUAGGCCGCGGGUUCGAUUCCCACCCAAGGUG